AACGAAUGCUGGCGGCAUGCCUAACACAUGCAAGUCGAACGAGACCUUCGGGUCUAGUGGCGCACGGGUGCGUAACGCGUGGGAAUCUGCCCUUGGGUUCGGAAUAACAGUUAGAAAUGACCGCUAAUACCGGAUGAUGACGUAAGUCCAAAGAUUUAUCGCCCAAGGAUGAGCCCGCGUAGGAUUAGCUAGUUGGUAAGGUAAAGGCUUACCAAGGCGACGAUCCUUAGCUGGUCUGAGAGGAUGAUCAGCCACACUGGGACUGAGACACGGCCCAGACUCCUACGGGGGGCAGCAGUGGGGAAUAUUGGACAAUGGGCGAAAGCCUGAUCCAGCAAUGCCGCGUGAGUGAUGAAGGCCUUAGGGUUGUAAAGCUCUUUUACCAGGGAUGAUAAUGACAGUACCUGGAGAAUAAGCUCCGGCUAACUCCGUGCCAGCAGCCGCCGUAA
rnacentral:rRNA from 1 species